GUCAUGUGAGGAUCCUGGACUGUCAUCCCCUAUCCUCAGUCCCUCCUGUAAAAGUCCUGUUUUCUCAUCCCCCGUCCUCAGUCCCUCAACAUUGACUCACUGUGAAGAUCCCAUUUUGUCACCCAGUGUUUUCGGUCUCUUACCAUGGAUGCCAUGUGAGGAUCCCAUUCUGUCUCCCCUUGUCAGUCCAUCAUCAACACACUUUCCAGAUUCAAAUUGUUCGUCCCCUGACUUCCGUUUCGGGAUGGAUACUGAAGAGGAAGCAGAAGAGGAAGCAAUACCUUCAACCUCUAGUGGAAUUACAGCAAGAGAGAGUUCCAGACAUGUUUGGUUUAGACCUCACUACGACUUGUCAGGUGACUCUGAUUAGAUUGGGAUCCAUAAAAACUGAAGACCUGUUUGGGAAGUCACUUUAGGACGUCAUCAUUCCUCUCAUGUUUUGUUAUUAAAGUCAAUGGGUUUCUAGUUAGCCUGAGGAAGCCUUAGGUAGCGUCUUGCGCUGGGGCUUUUCUUCUUCUUUGUGUUUUCCUCUCAGCUCCCCCAUGUUUCAGGGUGUAAUAGUGGUGCUUCCCAACACGCUGCUCUCCAAUAUAGUAAAUUAUUCUGUCCUGUUCCUCUACUAAUCCAGUCUCCCAGUUUUUAAUCUUUCAGGUUUUAGCUGCUCAUCGCUGGAUCCUUUCAUCGUUGUCCAUGUGGUUCCUGCCUUCUGGAUCCCUUGUUUUUCACACUGCUUGUUGGAUCUCCUCAUCCUGUUAACCUCCACCUUCAACACCACCAGUCAGACGGAGGAAGAUAAGAGAACCCUGUUGACAAAAAAAUUGACCAACAAUUAAAGAAGAAGACCUGCUCCACCUGCUGAUCUACUGGCUGUAACAGAUUGUGGAAAAGCAUCACCAGCAGCACUGGACCAAUCAGGAGAGAGAAGACACAGAGGACUGAAGGGACACAGAAAAUCCUGCUGGAAAUCCUGAGAUGAAGUUUCCUGAUGUAACCGGGGGAACCUGAGGACACAGAAUAAAGAAGGACCAUGUGAAACUCAUGAAGAGGAUGGUCAGAGUCGUCCAUAGCUUUCUUGACUCUUAUGAAGAAUCCUUCUUUGCUUCAUCUCCAGAGGUU